GACGAACCGGACAAACGUUAUUCGGAAUUAUUGGGCUUAAAGGGUGCGUAGGCGGUGCGGUAAGUUGGGUGUGAAAUCCCUCGGCUCAACCGAGGAAUUGCGCCCAAUACUGCCGUGCUCGAGGGAGACAGAGGUGAGCGGAACUGAUGGUGGAGCGGUGAAAUGCGUUGAUAUCAUCAGGAACACCGGUGGCGAAAGCGGCUCGCUGGGUCUCUACUGACGCUGAGGCACGAAAGCUAGGGUAGCGAACAGG
rnacentral:rRNA from 1 species